rnacentral:rRNA from 1 species
AGAGUUUGAUCCUGGCUCAGGACUAACGCUGGCGGCGUGCCUAACACAUGCAAGUCGAACGAGAGUAGCAAUACUCUAGUGGCAGACGGGUGAGUAACACGUGGUCAACCUACCUUUUAGUGGGGAAUAACUAGCCGAAAGGUUAGCUAAUACCGCAUGCGAUCUUCGAGUGGCAUCAUUUGGAGAAGAAAGGAGCAAUC